UACAAGUUGUGCAAAUAAAAGUUCUUGGUUAAGUAGUUAAUUUUUUAUUUAUAAUUAUUAAAAAAAUUUUUAGGUGAAAUUUAAUUUUUUUAUAAAUUCUUAAUUUAUUUAUGAAGCUAUGAAAUUUUUUAAUAAACUAGGAUUAGAUACCCUAUUAUUUUAAACGUUAAAAUUAACCUGGGUAGUAUUAGAUAUGAUCUUGAAACCUAAAAGAUUUGGCGGUGUCUUAGUCUAUUUAGAGGAACCUGUUCCGUGAUCGAUAGUCCACGAAAUAUUUUACUAGAUUUAUAAAGUUUAUAUACCGUCGUUAACAGAUUAUUUUAUAAGAAUAUAAUUUUCUUAAAUUUUUAUAAAAAUUUAUUUCAGAUCAAGGUGUAGCUUAUGAUUUAGAGGAAAUGGGUUACAAUAAACUUAUUUACAUGGAUAUAAAGUUGAAAUAUUUUAUUGAAGGUGGAUUUAAUUGUAAAAUUAUUUAAUUUUAAUUAUUUGAUUAUAGCUCUGAGAUAUGCACAUAUCGCCCGUCGCUCUUUUUAAAUAAAG
rnacentral:rRNA from 1 species